rnacentral:rRNA from 1 species
GACGAACGCUGGCGGCGUGCCUAAUACAUGCAAGUAGAACGCUGAAGAGAGGAGCUUGCUCUUCUUGGAUGAGUUGCGAACGGGUGAGUAACGCGUAGGUAACCUGCCUUGUAGCGGGGGAUAACUAUUGGAAACGAUAGCUAAUACCGCAUAACAAUGGAUGACACAUGUCAUUUAUUUGAAAGGGGCAAUUGCUCCACUACAAGAUGGACCUGCGUUGUAUUAGCUAGUAGGUGAGGUAAUGGCUCACCUAGGCGACGAUACAUAGCCGACCUGAGAGGGUGAAUGGCCACCCUGGGACUGGGACACGGCCCAGAACCCUACGGGAGGGAGCCGUAGGGAAUCUUCGGCAAUGGGGGCAACCCUGACCGAGGAACGCCGCGUGAGUGAAGAAGGUUUUCGGAUCGUAAAGCUCUGUUGUAAGUCAAGAACGGGUGUGGGAGUGGAAAGUUCACACUGUGACGGUAGCUUACCAGAAAGGGACGGCUAACUACGUG